rnacentral:misc_RNA from 1 species
CAAAAAUCAACUCAUUUAAUUUGUUGGUAUGAUUGUUAUACUUGUACCCCGCGGUUCCACGCGGGAAUCACUCCCCGCAGUAAAAUUUUUGUCCAUUCAAAAUUACAAUACAAUAUUUAACAAACUAGAACCUUCCUUCCAUUCCUAAUUUACCAUUCAUCAAAACAUUCACCCACACAGGCACAGAAAAACGCACACAACGACACGAGACAUAGUAAAGAAAGUGUUUCUAAUAUAAUUUGAACAGACUGACAUUGUUCAUUGUUCAUUGAUACGUCGUGUCGAGUGGUGUCUAGUCUAUGGACGGAACUGUGCAAUGAGGCUGUUCAUGACUAUUUCCUUAAUCCUACUGUGUUUAGUGGACAAAAGUUAUGGUGGUUUCAAAGAUUUCCUGACCAAUCUACCGAGUGAAGUCGCCGCGUUGGACAGCUAUGGAAUAAUCUGUUGUGAGUUUGAAUUUUAAAAACAAAUGCGACUGUAUUACGACGGAAUAAAGUUCUGUUUUGAUUGGCGUGUGUCAUCUAAUAAUGGUUGGAACUAAACUGGGAAGUUUUAAAAAGCAUUCAGCACGGCUUGGACAUCUAUAACUGAUGCUAUCCACAGACCUCACAGGAUAGUCCGUCUGGGGAAAAGAGGAAGAUUGAAAACAUUACCGACUCAGGCAACUGAAAGGACAGAACCGCCCCCUACUACACAGCCUUUCAAGUUUUUGAGAAUCAGUACGGAAGGUCCUCGGGUGACCAUUCCGUUAAUAACGUCACCAAGUUUCAGGACUUUCGGAGAUUGGAGGAGGAUGCAGAACGCACAUUAUGUUGUGAACAAGAAGAACAGAUUUGAUGAUCGAGACCCGGAUAUCAUAUUUUUACAAACGCCUAAGCCAGAAACUGAUAGAUAUUAUAUUAAUGAUUAUCAGACUGAAGAGACGUUUGUUCCACUAUUGUAUAUUUAAUAAAUAUUAAAUUAAUUAAUAACAUUGUUAAUUUUCUUAAGAUAUAAAAAGUUCG